UACGUAGGUGGCAAGCGUUAUCCGGAAUUAUUGGGUUUAAAGGGUGCGCAGGCGGUCUGUUAAGUCAGCGGUCAAAGCCCGGGGCUCAACCCCGGCCCGCCAUUGAAACUGGCGUUCUUGAGUGAGCGAGAAGUAUGCGGAAUGCGUGGUGUAGCGGUGAAAUGCAUAGAUAUCACGCAGAACUCCGAUUGCGAAGGCAGCGUACCGGCGCCCAACUGACGCUGAAGCACGAAAGCGUGGGUAUCGAACAGG
rnacentral:rRNA from 1 species